CGGAGGGUGCAAGCGUUAUCCGGAUUCACUGGGUUUAAAGGGUGUGUAGGCGGGUAUUUAAGUCAGUGGUGAAAUCUCCAGGCUCAACCUGGAAACUGCCAUUGAUACUAUUUAUCUUGAAUAUUGUUGAGGUAGGCGGAAUAUAUCAUGUAGCGGUGAAAUGCUUAGAUAUGAUAUAGAACACCGAUUGCGAAGGCAGCUUACUAAACAAUUAUUGACGCUGAGGCACGAAAGCGUGGGGAUCAAACAGGAUUAGAUACCCUGGUAGUCCACGCCCUAAACGAUGAUUACUCGACAUACGCGAUACACAGUGUGUGUCUGAGCGAAAGCAUUAAGUAAUCCACCUGGGAAGUACGUCCGCAAGGAUG
rnacentral:rRNA from 1 species